rnacentral:rRNA from 1 species
GACGAACGCUGGCGGCGUGCCUAAUACAUGCAAGUCGAGCGAGCUUGCCUAGAUGAUUUUAUUGCUUGCACUGAAUGAAACUAGAUACAAGCGAGCGGCGGACGGGUGAGUAACACGUGGGUAACCAGCUCAAGAGACUGGGAUAACUCCUGGAAACAGCUGCCAAUACCGGAUAACAACACUAGACGCAUGUCUAGAGUGUGUAAGACGGUUCUGCUAUCACUCUUGGAUGGACCUGCGGUGCAUUAGCUAGUUGGUCAGGUAACGGCUUACCAAGGCAAUGAUGCAUAGCCGGGCUGAGAGACUGAUCGGCCACAUUGGAACUGAGACACGGUCCAAACUCCUACGGGAGGCAGCAGUAGGGAAUCUUCCACAAUGGACGAAAGUCUGAUGGAGCAACGCCGCGUGAGUGAAGAAGGGUUUCGGCUCGUAAAGCUCUUUUGGUAGUGAAGAAAGAUAGAGGUAGUAACUGGCCUUUAUUUGACGGUAAUUACUUAGAAAGUCACGGCUAACUACGUG